rnacentral:ncRNA from 1 species
CUGGUUGAUCCUGCCAGUAGUCAUAUGUUUGUCUGAAAGAUUAAGCCAUGCAUUUGUAAGUAUGAACAAAUUCAGACUGUGAAACUGCGAAUGACUCAUUAAAUCAGUUAUAGUUUGUUUGAUGGUAUCUACUAUUCGUAUAACCGUAGUAAUUCCAGAGCUAACACGUGCAACAAAACUCGAAUUCUCGAAGGGAUGCAUCUAUUGGAUAAAAGGUCGACGCGGGCUUAGCCCAUUGCUGCGAUGAUUCAUGAUAACUCGACGAUUGCACGACCAUCAUGCCGGCAAUGCAUCAUUCAAAUGUCCUAUCAACUUUCGAUGGUAGGAUAGUGACCUACCAUGAUGGUGAUGGAGUUUGAUUUCGGAGAAAGAGCCUUAGAAACGACUGUCAUAUUUAAGGAAAAGGCAACAGACGUUCAAAUUAUCUAAUCAUUUAUAUAUUUAGGUGCUCAUAUAAAAAUCUCAAGGCUAAUAAUACAAU